rnacentral:rRNA from 1 species
GUAUGCGAGUCGGCGGGUGGCAAACCCGUAGGCGCAGGUAACCCGAGAAGCCUCCAAGGCUGACCAACCACAAUCUUCUGUGCAAGGUUUGAGUAGGAGCAUAUAUGUUGGGACCCGAAAGAUGGUGAACUAUGCCUGAGCAGGGCGAAGCCAGAGGAAACUCUGGUGGAGGCUCGUAGCGAUACUGACGUGCAAAUCGUUCGUCAGACUUGGGUAUAGGGGCGAAAGACUAAUCGAACCAUCUAGUAGCUGGUUCCCUCCGAAGUUUCCCUCAGGAUAGCUGGAGCUCGUACAGUUUUAUCGGGUAAAGCGAAUGAUUAGAGGUCUGGGGGCUGAAACAGCCUUCACCUAUUCUCAAACUUUAAAUAGGUAAGAAGUCCUUGCCACUUGAUUGGGCAUGGGCAUUGAAUUGGAGUUCCAAGUGGG